rnacentral:rRNA from 1 species
UACGUAGGGUGCGAGCGUUGUCCGGAAUUAUUGGGCGUAAAGGGCUCGUAGGCGGUCUGUCGCGUCGGGAGUGAAAACUCAGGGCUUAACCCUGAGCCUGCUUCCGAUACGGGCAGACUAGAGGUAUGCAGGGGAGAACGGAAUUCCUGGUGUAGCGGUGAAAUGCGCAGAUAUCAGGAGGAACACCGGUGGCGAAGGCGGUUCUCUGGGCAUUACCUGACGCUGAGACGCGAAAGCGUGGGGAGCGAACAGG